rnacentral:rRNA from 1 species
ACACAUGCAAGUCGAGGGGCAGCACAGGUCGUUAUACCGGGUGGCGACCGGCGCACGGGUGAGUAACGCGUAUGCAACUUACCUAUCAGAGGGGGAUAACCCGGCGAAAGUCGGACUAAUACCGCAUGAAGCAGGGGCCCCGCAUGGGGAUAUUUGCUAAAGAUUCAUCGCUGAUAGAUAGGCAUGCGUUCCAUUAGGCAGUUGGCGGGGUAACGGCCCACCAAACCGACGAUGGAUAGGGGUUCUGAGAGGAAGGUCCCCCACAUUGGUACUGAGACACGGACCAAACUCCUACGGGAGGCAGCAGUGAGGAAUAUUGGUCAAUGGCCGAGAGGCUGAACCAGCCAAGUCGCGUGAGGGAUGAAGGUUCUAUGGAUCGUAAACCUCUUUUAUAAGGGAAUAAAGUGCGGGACGUGUCCCGUUUUGUAUGUACCUUAUGAAUAAGGAUCGGCUAACUCCGUGCCAGCAGCCGCGGUAAUACGGAGGAUCCGAGCGUUAUCCGGAUUUAUUGGGUUUAAAGGGUGCGUAGGCGGCCUUUUAAGUCAGCGGUGAAAGUCUGUGGCUCAACCAUAGAAUUGCCGUUGAAACUGGGAGGCUUGAGUAUGUUUGAGGCAGGCGGAAUGCGUGGUGUAGCGGUGAAAUGCAUAGAUAUCACGCAGAACCCCGAUUGCGAAGGCAGCCUGCCAAGCCAUUACUGACGCUGAUGCACGAAAGCGUGGGGAUCAAACAGGAUUAGAUACCCUGGUAGUCCACGCAGUAAACGAUGAUCACUAGCUGUUUGCGAUACACUGUAAGCGGCACAGCGAAAGCGUUAAGUGAUCCACCUGGGGAGUACGCCGGCAACGGUGAAACUCAAAGGAAUUGACGGGGGCCCGCACAAGCGGAGGAACAUGUGGUUUAAUUCGAUGAUACGCGAGGAACCUUACCCGGGUUUGAACGCAUUCGGACCGAGGUGGAAACACCUUUUCUAGCAAUAGCCGUUUGCGAGGUGCUGCAUGGUUGUCGUCAGCUCGUGCCGUGAGGUGUCGGCUUAAGUGCCAUAACGAGCGCAACCCUUGCCACUAGUUACUAACAGGUAAAGCUGAGGACUCUGGUGGGACUGCCAGCGUAAGCUGCGAGGAAGGCGGGGAUGACGUCAAAUCAGCACGGCCCUUACAUCCGGGGCGACACACGUGUUACAAUGGCGUGGACAAAGGGAAGCCACCUGGCGACAGGGAGCGAAUCCCCAAACCACGUCUCAGUUCGGAUCGGAGUCUGCAACCCGACUCCGUGAAGCUGGAUUCGCUAGUAAUCGCGCAUCAGCCAUGGCGCGGUGAAUACGUUCCCGGGCCUUGUACACACCGCCCGUCAAGCCAUGGGAGCCGGGGGUACCUGAAGUCCGUAACCGCGAGGAUCGGCCUAGGGUAAAACUGGUGACUGGGGCUAAGUCGUA